GUCUUUUUGAAAUAUAAUUUAAAGUCUAACCUGCCCAAUGGUUUAUUUAAAUGGCCGCGGUAUAUUGACCGUGCAAAGGUAGCAUAAUCAUUAGUCUUUUAAUUAAAGGCUGGAAUGAAUGGUUUGACGAGGAAUUGACUGUCUCUGUUUAAUAAUUAAAAUUUAAAUUUUCAGUGAAAAGGCUGAAAUUUUGAUUAAGGACGAGAAGACCCUAUAGAGUUUUAUAUAUAGUUUUAUAAAUUGUUUAGUUUUAAUUUUAAAUUUAUAUUUUAUUUAUAUUUGGUUGGGGUGACAGGGGAAAUAAUUAAACUUCCCCUUUUUGUUACAUUUAUUUAUGUUAUGUGAUCCUUAAUUUUGGAUUGAAAGAUUAAAUUACCUUAGGGAUAACAGCGUAAUUAAUUUUAAGAGUUCUUAUCGACAAAUUAGUUUGCGACCUCGAUGUUGGAUUAAGAUUAAUUUUAGGUGUAGUGGCUAAAUAAUUAGGUCUGUUCGACCUUUAAUUUCUU
rnacentral:rRNA from 1 species